rnacentral:sRNA from 1 species
CCUUGGCUUGAACUUCCUCCUGGUGUAGUUGUACCAGAUGCAGUAGCAUCAGGCUGUGAUCCUGUUAAACUAAGAGAUUUCUGGCCUGCAGGUACAGCCAUUCUCGGGGAGUUCUGCUGCUGCUGAUUCAAGGGCUGUUGCUGUGAUUGUUGCUGUAUUUGCUGCUGCUGUUGUUGAUGCUGCUGCAGCUGCUGUUGCUGUUGCUGUUGGAGCUGUGGAUGGCUCAGUUGUUGCUGCUGCUGUACAAGCUGGGAUAACUGUUGCUGGUUCAAGGGCAUAGAC